rnacentral:rRNA from 1 species
UACGGGGGGAGCAAGCGUUGUUCGGAUUUACUGGGCGUAAAGGGCGCGUAGGCGGUAGCACAAGUCAGUUGUGAAAUCUCCGGGCUUAGCUCGGAAAGGUCAACUGAUACUGUGCGACUAGAGUGCAGAAGGGGCAACUGGAAUUCUCGGUGUAGCGGUGAAAUGCGUAGAUAUCGAGAGGAACACCUGCGGCGAAGGCGGGUUGCUGGGCUGACACUGACGCUGAUGCGCGAAAGCCAGGGGAGCGAACGGG